GAUGAACGCUGGCGGCGUGCUUAACACAUGCAAGUCGAACGGGAAUGUUUCGCUGAUGCGAUUUCGGUCAAAUCUUGAAGCAUUUUAGUGGCGGACGGGUGAGUAACGCGUGGGUAACCUGCCCUGUACAGGGGGACAACAGUUGGAAACGACUGCUAAUACCGCAUAAGCGCACAGCUUCGCAUGAAGCAGUGUGAAAAACUCCGGUGGUACAGGAUGGACCCGCGUCUGAUUAGAUAGUUGGUGAGGUAACGGCCCACCAAGUCAACGAUCAGUAGCCGGCCUGAGAGGGCGAACGGCCACAUUGGGACUGAGACACGGCCCAAACUCCUACGGGAGGCAGCAGUGGGGAAUAUUGCACAAUGGGAGAAACCCUGAUGCAGCGACGCCGCGUGAGUGAAGAAGUAUUUCGGUAUGUAAAGCUCUAUCAGCAGGGAAGAAAACAAUGGCGGUACCUGACUAAGAAGCCCCGGCUAACUACGUGACAGCAGCCGCCGCAG
rnacentral:rRNA from 1 species